rnacentral:rRNA from 1 species
AGUGAACGCUGGCGGUAGGCCUAACACAUGCAAGUCGAACGGAAACACAGUAAGCGCUUGCUCUUACGGGUGGCGAGUGGCGGGCGGGUGAGGCAUACAUCGCCUUCUACUUUUACGUGGGGGAUUACGUAGGGCAACUUACGCUAAUACCGCAUACGACCUACGGGUGGAUGCAGGGGAUCUUCGGACCUUGCCCGCUUUUAUGAGCUGAUGUCGGAUGAGCGAGUUGGCGGGGUAAAGGACCACCAAGGCGACGAUCCGUAGCUGGUCUGAGAGGAUGAGCAGACACACGGAAAGUGAGACACUGUCCAGACCUCUACGAGGGGCAGCAGGGGGGAAUAGUGGAAAAGGCGCGAAAGUCACAGCCAGCCAUACCGCGUGGGUUAAGAAGGCCUUCGGGGUAAAGCCCUUUUGUUGGGAAAGAAAAGCAGCAGGUUAAUACCCCGCUGUUCUGACGGUACCCAAAGAAUAAGCACCGGCUAACUUCGUG